rnacentral:rRNA from 1 species
UACGUAGGGGGCGAGCGUUAUCCGGAUUCAUUGGGCGUAAAGCGCGCGUAGGCGGCCGCCUAAGCGGAACCUCUAACCCCGGGGCUCAACCUCGGGCCGGGUUCCGGACUGGGCGGCUCGAGUGCGGUAGAGGAGAGCGGAAUUCCCGGUGUAGCGGUGGAAUGCGCAGAUAUCGGGAAGAACACCGAUGGCGAAGGCAGCUCUCUGGGCCGUUACUGACGUUGAGGCCCGAAAGCGUGGGGAGCAAACAGG